CUCGCGCCCCCUCUCCCUGCGUCUCAUUCAAAGCUGAGUGGGGAAGGCAGACAGACCGAGAAGUAUGGGAGAAAGUUGCUUGUCUUCCUGGGUGACCCCGAGGAGCCACGGAAGAUGACACACUUUGCCUGUUGGGGCUUUUCUGGGUUUACUGUUCGGGUUUAUGCUCCUGUUUUCCUGCCGCCGUUAAAAGAAGCCGUAGACGGGAAAGAGGGCCUUAAAGACCCAGAGAACAGUUGUGAUAGCACUUUGCAGCCCGGCAUUCAUUGUGCAGCCAUGAAGCAACAGGCAUGAGGAGGAAAGCCAGCACACGAACCAUGAUGGAGCAAAGUGGUGAAAAGAGUCCGCUUCUUCCCUAUCUGCACUAGGCUGUUGGACUUCUCUUGGGGACUUUGUAUCCUGAAUUGCCUCGUCUGAUAUGGAACCAAUAAUUUAUCAGCUGUCAAAUUCCAGAUGAUACUCACCCUAACUGCCCAAGAUGGACAACUAAUCAAAACAAGCUCAGGCCUCCUAUUGUUACAGAGAAGGGGUCCCGACGCAGACCCCAAGGGAAGGUUCUUGGAUCUCAUGCAAGAAAGAAUUCAGAGCGAGUCUAUAAAGUGAAAACAAGUGUAUUUAAAAAGUAAAGGAGUAAAAAAUGGCUACUCCAUAGAGACAGCAGCCCCAAGGGCUGCUGGUUGUCCAUUUUUAAGGUUAUUUCUUGAUUAUAUGCUAAAAACUAUAAUUAGAUAUUAUUGCAUUGUGAAUUAUUUAUGCCUCCCGAUAAGAGAAGCUGGCUGCCUUCAGCAAAAUCCUUUCCUGAAGCUUUUGUAAAACCUCCUGGCCUUCCAAGAAGGUUUGCAUCUUUCUACGAUUUUUCUCACCAUCCUGACCGAUCUCCUACACUUUAUGACCUGUAUCUUGUGCCAACCUCCUAUCUCAUCCUGUGACCUAGAAUGCCUUAAUGUCUGGGAAUGCAGCCCCGUAGGUCUCAGCCUCAUUUUACCCAGCCCCUACUCAAGAUGGAAUUGGUCUGAUUUAAACACCUCUGGCACUAACAUCUCCUUUAGACAGAGCAGGGCGAGAGUUCUGUGGUCACAAUAGGUAGGGACUAUGCCCCAAUCAGCAUGAAGCAGUUACAG
rnacentral:lncRNA from 1 species